UGUUUUUCCAAGCUGAAUGAGCCACAGAAGUAUCAGGUUCAGGAGCCAAAGCCUUUGCAUUUCCCUCAGUUCAUCUGGAGUUGGAAGGUGUUCAGCCAGCUGGUUCAUGGCCAAGCUGGUGCAUGCCGCCUGAUAACAGACAACAUCAUUCAUUAACCCAGUCAAGACGGGAGAGCAGAGAGAACGCAGCGAGUUCCACGGUGCAGCAGCGGCGUUGAACCCGACAGGAAGUCCUCAGACUGAGCUUUUAUCUGGAGCUUCCAAAUCCCAAAACAUCUGCACCUGUGUAGGAGGAGGAGACACAGGGUAGACAAACAGAAAGACAGACAAAUACGGCUCCUGAUGUGAAGGAGUCGGUCAUGUUAAAGAAAAUGCAUGACUAAAUAGGAAUAUAUGGGAGAAUUCCAAAGAAAAAAGGCUGCUGACCAAAAAAGAACACACACUUUGACAGAAAUAUUUAAACAAAAUGAAAAAAAACAAACUCCUAGCAAUAAAACGUGGUAGAAGUGACAACCUGAGCCACCUAUUAGCUUGGGUUUGGAUGAAUUGACAUAUUUGAAUAAACAGCUAAUUCUAUCAUAAAACUCUUGAAGAGAUUCUUCCUUUUUUUCUUUUUGUUACAAAUUAACAAAAACAAAAGAAAAAAUAGGUUUUUGAAUUGACUUUUUAAAUACAGU